UACGGAGGGUGCAAGCGUUAUCCGGAUUUACUGGGUUUAAAGGGUGCGUAGGUGGGCAGGCAAGUCAGUGGUGAAAUCUCCGGGCUUAACCCGGAAACUGCCAUUGAUACUAUUUGUCUUGAAUACUUUGGAGGUAAGCGGAAUAUGUCAUGUAGCGGUGAAAUGCUUAGAUAUGACAUAGAACACCCAUUGCGAAGGCAGCUAACUACGCGAUAAUUGACGCUGAUGCACGAAAGCGUGGGGAUCAAACAGG
rnacentral:rRNA from 1 species